rnacentral:rRNA from 1 species
GGGGCUAUACAUGCAGUCGAGCGCGUGAAGCAACAUGAUCCCUUCGGGGUGAUUGUUGUGGAUCGAGCGGCGGACGGGUGAGUAACACGUGGAUAACCUACCUUCGAGAUCGGGAUAACUCCGGGAAACCGGGGCUAAUACCGAAUGAUCUGUUAGACCGCAUGGUCGAACAGCAAACGGCGGCCUAGCCGUCACUCGAAGAUGGAUCCGCGGCGCAUUAGCUAGUUGGUAAGGUAACGGCUUACCAAGGCGACGAUGCGUAGCCGACCUGAGAGGGUGAUCGGCCACACUGGGACUGAGACACGGCCCAGACUCCUACGGGAGGCAGCAGUAGGGAAUCUUCCGCAAUGGACGAAAGUCUGACGGAGCAACGCCGCGUGAACGAUGAAGGUCUUCGGAUCGUAAAGUUCUGUUGUUAGGGAAGAACAAGUGCCAGAGGAAAUGCUGGCACCUUGACGGUACCUAACCAGAAAGCCCCGGCUAACUACGUGCCAGCAGCCGCGGUAAUACGUAGGGGGCAAGCGUUGUCCGGAAUUAUUGGGCGUAAAGCGCGCGCAGGCGGUUCCUUAAGUCUGAUGUGAAAGCCCACGGCUCAACCGUGGAGGGCCAUUGGAAACUGGGGAGCUUGAGUACAGAAGAGGAGAGUGGAAUUCCACGUGUAGCGGUGAAAUGCGUAGAUAUGUGGAGGAACACCAGUGGCGAAGGCGACUCUCUGGUCUGUAACUGACGCUGAGGCGCGAAAGCGUGGGUAGCAAACAGGAUUAGAUACCCUGGUAGUCCACGCCGUAAACGUUGAGUGCUAGGUGUUAGGGGGUUUCCGCCCCUUAGUGCUGAAGUUAACGCAUUAAGCACUCCGCCUGGGGAGUACGGCCGCAAGGCUGAAACUCAUGAUAUU